GGGCCGGUAGAUCAGCCUGGUAGAUCGCAUCCUUGGCAUGGAUGAGGCCCCGGGUUCAAAUCCCGGCCGGUCCA
rnacentral:tRNA from 1 species